UGUAGGAGCCGGCUUGCUGGCGAUGCGGGCAACUCGGAGCAAAUGGAUGACCAGGGUGAUGCUAUCGCCAGCAAGCCGGCUCCUACA
rnacentral:misc_RNA from 1 species